CUUGCUCCUGGGUGGCGAGUGGCGCACGGGUGAGUAAUACAUCGGAACGUGUCCUAUCGUAGGGGAUAACUGAUCGAAAGAUCAGCUAAUACCGCAUAAGACCUGAGGGUGAAAGUGGGGGAUCGCAAGACCUCACGCGAUUGGAGCGGCCGAUGCCCGAUUAGCUAGUUGGUGAGGUAAAGGCUCACCAAGGCGACGAUCGGUAGCUGGUCUGAGAGGACGACCAGCCACACUGGGACUGAGACACGGCCCAGACUCCUACGGGAGGCAGCAGUGGGGAAUUUUGGACAAUGGGGGCAACCCUGAUCCAGCCAUGCCGCGUGCAGGAUGAAGGUCUUCGGAUUGUAAACUGCUUUUGUCAGGGAAGAAAAGGUCUGUGUUAAUACCAUAGACUGCUGACGGUACCUGAAGAAUAAGCACCGGCUAACUACGUGCCAGCAGCCGCGGUAAUACGUAGGGUGCAAGCGUUAAUCGGAAUUACUGGGCGUAAAGCGUGCGCAGGCGGUUCUGUAAGACAGAUGUGAAAUCCCCGGGCUCAACCUGGGAAUGGCAUUUGUGACUGCAGGACUAGAGUUCAUCAGAGGGGGGUGGAAUUCCAAGUGUAGCAGUGAAAUGCGUAGAUAUUUGGAAGAACACCAAUGGCGAAGGCAGCCCCCUGGGAUGCGACUGACGCUCAUGCACGAAAGCGUGGGGAGCAAACAGG
rnacentral:rRNA from 1 species